rnacentral:rRNA from 1 species
UGCAGUCGAACGGAUCCUUCGGGAUUAGUGGCGGACGGGUGAGUAACACGUGGGAACGUGCCCUUUGGUUCGGAACAACUCAGGGAAACUUGAGCUAAUACCGGAUGUGCCCUUCGGGGGAAAGAUUUAUCGCCAUUGGAGCGGCCCGCGUCUGAUUAGCUAGUUGGUGGGGUAAAGGCCCACCAAGGCGACGAUCAGUAGCUGGUCUGAGAGGAUGAUCAGCCACAUUGGGACUGAGACACGGCCCAAACUCCUACGGGAGGCAGCAGUGGGGAAUCUUGCGCAAUGGGCGAAAGCCUGACGCAGCCAUGCCGCGUGAAUGAUGAAGGUCUUAGGAUUGUAAAAUUCUUUCACCGGGGACGAUAAUGACGGUACCCGGAGAAGAAGCCCCGGCUAACUUCGUGCCAGCAGCCGCGGUAAUACGAAGGGGGCUAGCGUUGCUCGGAAUUACUGGGCGUAAAGGGAGCGUAGGCGGACUGUUAAGUUAGAGGUGAAAGCCCAGGGCUCAACCUUGGAAUUGCCUUUGAUACUGGCAGUCUUGAGUACGGAAGAGGUAUGUGGAACUCCGAGUGUAGAGGUGAAAUUCGUAGAUAUUCGGAAGAACACCAGUGGCGAAGGCGACAUACUGGUCCGUUACUGACGCUGAGGCUCGAAAGCGUGGGGAGCAAACAGGAUUAGAUACCCAGGUAGUCCACGCCGUAAACGAUGAGUGCUAGUUGUCGGCAUGCAUGCAUGUCGGUGACGCAGCUAACGCAUUAAGCACUCCGCCUGGGGAGUACGGUCGCAAGAUUAAAACUCAAAGGAAUUGACGGGGGCCCGCACAAGCGGUGGAGCAUGUGGUUUAAUUCGAAGCAACGCGCAGAACCUUACCCACCUUUUGACAUGCCNNGGACCGCCCACAG